rnacentral:lncRNA from 1 species
GGCAGGGCUGACGUGAAGGGAUGCAAAACAGCUCCUCCUAACCCAGCUCGCAGAGGAAGAGAGACAGAAAAGCAGCCCUUUUAUCUCUCUUUUGUUUUCUCACUUCCUUCCACCGCCCCCCCCAGCACCCCCCUCUUGUCAGCCCAAGUUUUCUUUUCUCUUUCUACCGCAGAGAGGAUUUUUCUUCCUUUCUUUCUCUUUUCUUUCGGUUCAACUCUCCCACUCAAAUUGAAAGCCUGGAGGGUUUUCUUUCUCCUUUUUUUUUCUUCCCUCUUUUCUUCCUUCUUCCUCCUUUCUUAUUUCUCUAAAAGGGUUUUGUUUGCUGUGGGAGUUUCGUUUGAAAAUCAAGUCACGCCUUUUUUCCUCCUUUUCUUUCUUUCUCUCUUUUUUUUUUUUUUUUCUCCUCUCAGCAGAAAAGGGGAACAAAGAUUAACUGAAGCGGGGGAGAGGGGGAGCGUCAGAAGCUCGCAUGGAAAUGGGGGCCCCCGGGCCGGCCCCGCACAAAGGGGGCCCGAGGGCUGCGCGCCCCCUCCCCCCUGGGAAGCCCGGGGCGUCCUCCCGAGAGGAGGGUCGGCGGGGGCGGGGGCCGCGGCGGCCGCUGGGUGCCGGUUCCUUCCGAAGUGCGGGCGGGGGCCGCCCAGGCCGCCCCUCCCCAGCCAGGGGUGGAAAGCUGGGUGUGUGCUUGACUUAUAUAUUUUUAAAGUAGGCAGAUGGGCUUGGAACAAACAUCCCCGCAGAGCACUGAAGUGUAAAAGAGCCUUUAAACAGCUGUUUGCAGAGCCCUGGACGGCCAGGCUCGAGGGAGCGGCGCGGGCUGCGAGCGCGGGGCCGGGGUGGGAAGGGGCUCGGAGGCGGCGCUGGGAUCUCCCCCCCCCCCGCCCCCGUGGGCUCUGGGAUCCCAGGGCCUGGGCCCCGGCUCCUCCUCCCCACCCAGCCCCCACCCCGGGCGCACGGCUGGGGGCGCCGAGGCGUGGCCGUUGCCGGCGCUGGGGUCAGGCCCCAGGCGCCUCCUCCUGGGCCCGCGGGCUUUGGCACCGCCUGGCCUCCCCCAACCCCGCUCCCGGGCGGGCCGGACCCUCGGCCUCCGACCUCGGGAACGGCCGCCACUCCGAGCGGCUUCUCGACUCCGAGGCUGGGCCGGUCGUGCGUCCCCCGGCUGAGCCGGGCAGAGCCGCCAGGAAGGGUCAAUUAUUCAUGGGGCGCCUGGGCGUGCUCCCAAGACCUGCUCUGCCCUCAGCUUCUCCGGAGAAGUGGGGAGAAAACAAGGCAAAAGUUCCCAAAGUUGGCCACGUUUCUCAUUUUCCCAAGUAA